UUUUUAGCUGCUUCAUUAUAACAAGUAGGUUCACGCACUUUAUUUAAAGCAGCAACAAAACAUUUAUUAUCAUAAGACAAAUGAGCAUAACUAACAACUUUUUCUAUGCCAUACUUUACUUUCCCUUCAACCACAAAUUCAUCAAAUCUUUUAGGCAUAGACACAUUCCUAGAAGACUUUCUAACACUAACACCCUCAGAUUGGUUAGUUUCAACAUUUAAUCCUGUAAUGUGAUCUGCCAUCACAUCUGCAUCCAAUCCACUACUGCCUUCCUGUUCAGACUGUUGAACAGGGACUGAUGUAGAGGGAGGCAAAGGUUGCUGACCUUCAUUAGCAGGAUCAUGUGAACCAUUUGCACCCUCUUCAUCAUUGGGUAUGUUAGAAACUUCAGACAAAAUGUUAUCAAAAAAGUUUGCAUGAUUCAACUGUUUAUUAUACACAGACUCUUGGUUAUCAAAAUUUUUAAUUUGAAAUGGGAAAACAUUUUCAUAAAAUUUUACAUCUCUUGAAAAAAACACCUUUUUAGAAUCUAAACUCCACAGUUUAUACCCCUUUUUAAAAUUAGAAUAACCAAUCAAUACACACUUUUCAGCAUUAGAAGAAAACUUGUCUGAAUCAUGCAAUACAGUACUAAAACAUAAACAUCCAAAGUUUCUAAGAUGUAACAAAGAGGGUUUAAACUCAAACAUCAUUUCAUAGGGACUCCUACCAUUUAGCACAUAAGAAGGCAACCUGUUAAUAAGAUAAACUGCAGUCAAAACACAAUCUGACCAAAACCUAAGAGGCAGACUACCCUGAAACAUCAAAGCUCUAGCAGUAUUCAACAAAUGUCUAUAAUUGCCAACAAAAUAUAGACCACCAUCUUGUCUACC
rnacentral:lncRNA from 1 species